rnacentral:lncRNA from 1 species
AACUUAUCCAAGUCUAUUUAUAGCCAAUACUGAACCAUUUCAUAUUUCACAACUCCCAGUUCAGAAGUGCAAUAACAUUACAACGAUAUAAUUUCAUUUACAGAACCCAUCAUAGCCUUUCUGGUACCUCAGCUACGCGGCUGUGAUGUGAACAAGGUGUUGUAGCUGUCUUUCCACUCCUGCUGGGACAGGACUCCAGGGUUCAUCCCUAAAACAGCUGGGCCAUUGGUAUCUAUUUUAUUCUCUACCCUUUGGUAAGCCUCACACAGUUUAUCAAGCACAGCCCUUGGUCAAGGACUUUUGCAGAAACCCCCCUCCACUCCAGCCUCCAAGCAAACUUUUGGGGUACUGCUCUGUGCAGUCCCUUCUCCUCUGGUGCCUGCCCUGCAGAUUCCAGCUGCCUCAGCUUCCUCAAGUCAGCAGGACCAUCUUGCUCUGCUGAUUCCAUUUCACUGGCUUCAGUACAGAAAUUCCCAAGCAUGGAGAUUUUUGAGCCUAAAAACUGAUUAUCAUAAGCAUAAAUGAAGACAUUUGGAAGCCUGCUAACACCUAUAGAAAAGCCCUGACUUUGGAAAGCUUGUAAGGUUGGUAAGUUUGACUUGAUAAUUCCUCAGCUGUCUUCAUUUCAGUGUUUU